GACGAACGCUGGCGGCGUGCUUAACACAUGCAAGUCGAACGAAGUGGCGAACGGGUGAGUAAUACGUGAGUAACCUGCCCUCCUUUUUGGGAUAAGCCUUGGAAACGGGGUCUAAUACGGAAUAAAGGGGGAUGGGCUCGCGGCCUAUCAGCUUGUUGGUGGGGUGAUGGCCUACCAAGGCGGUGAGGGGUAGCCGGCCUGGGAGGGUGACCUGCCACAUGGGGACGGAUAUACGGCGCAGACUCCUACGGGAGGCAGCAGUGGGGAAUAUUGCACAAUUGGCGGAAGCCUGAUGCAGCGACGCCGCGUGGGGGAUGCCGGCCUUCGGGUUGUAAACUCCUUUCACCAUCGACGCGGGAGAUGGAGAAGGAGCAGCGGCUAACUGCGUGCCAGCAGCCGCGGUAAAC
rnacentral:rRNA from 1 species